rnacentral:rRNA from 1 species
AUUGAACGCUGGCGGCAUGCCUUACACAUGCAAGUCGAACGGCAGCACGGGUGCUUGCCCCUGGUGGCGAGUGGCGAACGGGUGAGUAAUACAUCGGAACAUGUCCUGUAGUGGGGGAUAGCCCGGCGAAAGCCGGAUUAAUACCGCAUACGAUCUACGGAUGACAGCGGGGGACCUUCGGGCCUCGCGCUUUAGGGUUGGCCGAUGGCUGAUUAGCUAGUUGGUGGGGUAAAGGCCUACCAAGGCGACGAUCAGUAGCUGGUCUGAGAGGACGACCAGCCACACUGGGACUGAGACACGGCCCAGACUCCUACGGGAGGCAGCAGUGGGGAAUUUUGGACAAUGGGCGAAAGCCUGAUCCAGCAAUGCCGCGUGUGUGAAGAAGGCCUUCGGGUUGUAAAGCACUUUUGUCCGGAAAGAAAUCCUUGGCUCUAAUACAGUCGGGGGAUGACGGUACCGGAAGAAUAAGCACCGGCUAACUACGUG